GAUUUUAAUAGAAACAGGUAUUUGCGCAACAAGCAGUGUUUGUGUUACAAACAGUUCAGACAUGUUGCUUUUGUCAUUGGGUUAUAAUUGGUAAUAAAAAAAUCAACAUUGUGAUGCUAUUUUGUAUCAUUAGGAAACAACUCGUGGAAAGAACAUGACUAAGCUUGCCAUUUUUGUGUGGAACUUAAGUUGAAGAAGUCCUAAUCAUAUCAAUGUAUACAUGUCUUUCCUGUCCAAUGUAUAUGUGAGCAGUCCAAAUCAGAAGAUCAGAGGAUGAAAUGAACUGCACAUCUGGAUAUACAGUUAGAACUGUACUGCAACCUCACCGCUCAUGGUACCACCCCUGAGACAAG
ensembl:lncRNA